CUUUAAGAGGACGCCAUCGCCGUUCACCUGUCUUUCAGCGCCUGCGGAUUCUGGGUGCUCAGCUCCCAGCCGAGGACGUCGGAUGUCAUCGUCGUUGCUGCUUUGCCACCCCAUUCCCGUCAAUAAAGUGGUUUGAACCCAA